rnacentral:rRNA from 1 species
GCGCCUACGGGACGCAGCAGUCGGGAAUAUUGCGCAAUGGAGGAAACUCUGACGCAGUGACGCCGCGUAUAGGAAGAAGGUUUUCGGAUUGUAAACUAUUGUCGUGAGGGAAGAAAUUGACAGUACCUCAGGAGGAAGCUCCGGCUAACUAUGUGCCAGCAGCCGCGGUAAUACGUAGGGAGCAAGCGUUGUCCGGAAUUACUGGGUGUAAAGGGAGCGUAGGCGGGGAUGCAAGUUGGGUGUCAAAACUACCGGCUCAACCGAUAGUCGCACUCAAAACUGCAACUCUUGAGUGAAGUAGAGGC